UACGGAGGGGGCGAGCGUUGCUCGGAAUCAUUGGGCGUAAAGCGCGUGUAGGCGGCUUGGCAAGUCGGUUGUGAAAUCCCGGGGCCCAACCCCGGAACUGCAAUCGAAACUGCCUCGCUAGUGUCCCGGAGAGGAAGGCGGAAUUCCCGGUGUAGAGGUGAAAUUCGUAGAUAUCGGGAGGAACACCAGUGGCGAAGGCGGCCUUCUGGACGGUGACUGACGCUCAGACGCGAAAGCGUGGGGAGCAAACAGG
rnacentral:rRNA from 1 species